ensembl:snRNA U1 U1 spliceosomal RNA
AUACUUACCUGGCAGGGGAGAUACCAUGAUCAGGAAGGUGGUUUUCCCAGGACAAGGCUUAUCCAUUGCACUCGUGAUGUGCUGACCCCUGCGAUUUCCCCAAAUGCAGGAAACUGCAUAAUUUGUGGUGGUGGUGGGGACUGAAUUCGCGCUCUCCCCUG